rnacentral:rRNA from 1 species
CCUACGGGUGGCAGCAGUCGAGAAUCAUUCACAAUGGGGGAAACCCUGAUGGUGCGACGCCGCGUGGGGGAAUGAAGGUCUUCGGAUUGUAAACCCCUGUCAUGUGGGAGCAAAUUAAAAAGAUAGUACCACAAGAGGAAGAGACGACUAACUCUGUGCCAGCAGCCGCGGUAAUACAGAGGUCUCAAGCGUUGUUCGGAAUCACUGGGCGUAAGGCGUGCGUAGGCUGUUUCGUAAGUCGUGUGUGAAAGGCGCGGGCUCAACCCGCGGACGGCACAUGAUACUGCGAGACUAGAGUAAUGGAGGGGGAACCGGAAUUCUCGGUGUAGAAGUGAAAUGCGUAGAUAUCGAGAGGAACACUCGUGGCGAAGGCGGGUUCCUGGACAGUAACUGACGCUGAGGCACGAAGGCCAGGGGAGCGAAAGGGAUUAGAUACCCGAGUAGUC